UGGUCAUUGAUGAAUUGGGAGGUGAUAUGGCAAUCUAAUCGUCUCCAAAUCACACACAGUUACAACAAACUGGGUUGCUUAAAGGGGAUGAUCACACAGAUCGCUUUUUCCGAAUCCUCAUGGAAAUUUCUGUAGCAAAUUGUUUGGCCACUGACAUGAUUAAUCCAAGCUCAUUGUCCCUACAAACGCCACAACAAGUCCAGCAUCUCUCAUUUGCUGUUAUUGAUAUGUAUGCAAAGCUUGUGGUUUUGGUU